rnacentral:rRNA from 1 species
UACGUAGGGUGCGAGCGUUGUCCGGAAUUAUUGGGCGUAAAGAGCUCGUAGGCGGUUUGUUGCGUCGGCUGUGAAAUCCCGAGGCUCAACCUCGGGUCUGCAGUCGAUACGAGCAAACUAGAGUGUUGCAGGGGAGACUGGAAUUCCUGGUGAUAGCGGUGAAAUGCGCAGAUAUCAGGAGGAACACCGGUGGCGAAGGCGGGUCUCUGGGCAACAACUGACGCUGGAGGAGCGAAAGCCGUGGGGAGCGAACAGG